GGGAUGACCGGUGGAAACAGAUCGUUACUUCACGAUUUACCAUCCCAAUUUCUGUACUUGAAAACUUUGUAGGGUACCAAGUUUCCAUCUUACUUUCCUGCCACCAAGUCCAAACCAUGUAGCUGCCCACAAAGUGCCUCUAUCUGUGUGCUGGGGACAACUCAUACUAGCUGUCAGAAUUGAUGGCUAAAUUUUUAACAUGAUCAUUUACAUUUCAGAAAUGGAUUGUUAAUUCUGCUAUACUCCCUACCC
rnacentral:lncRNA from 1 species